GCGCACUAAGCUCAAAUGGUAAGAGCAUCACUCUUGAAAGUUGAGGUUGUGGGUUUGAUUCCCACAGUGCACA
rnacentral:tRNA from 1 species